CCUACGGGAGGCAGCAGUGGGGAAUAUUGCACAAUGGGGGAAACCCUGAUGCAGCGACGCCGCGUGAGUGAAGAAGUAUUUCGGUAUGUAAAGCUCUAUCAGCAGGGAAGAAAAUGACGGUACCUGAUUAAGAAGCCCCGGCUAACUACGUGCCAGCAGCCGCGGUAAUACGUAGGGGGCAAGCGUUAUCCGGAUUUACUGGGUGUAAAGGGAGCGUAGACGGUGAUGCAAGUCAGAAGUGAAAGCCCGGGGCUCAACUCCGGGACUGCUUUUGAAACUGUGUGACUGGAGUGCAGGAGAGGUAAGCGGAAUUCCUGGUGUAGCGGUGAAAUGCGUAGAUAUCAGGAGGAACACCAGUGGCGAAGGCGGCUUACUGGACUGUAACUGACGUUGAGGCUCGAAAGCGUGGGGAGCAAACAGGAUUAGAUACCCCUGUAG
rnacentral:rRNA from 1 species